CCUACGGGUGGCAGCAGUGGGGAAUAUUGCACAAUGGGCGCAAGCCUGAUGCAGCCAUGCCGCGUGUGUGAAGAAGGCCUUCGGGUUGUAAAGCACUUUCAGCGGGGAGGAAGGCGUUAAGGUUAAUAACCUUGGCGAUUGACGUUACCCGCAGAAGAAGCACCGGCUACUCCGUGCCAGCAGCCGCGGUAAUACGGAGGGUGCAAGCGUUAAUCGGAAUUACUGGGCGUAAAGCGCACGCAGGCGGUCUGUCAAGUCGGAUGUGAAAUCCCCGGGCUCAACCUGGGAACUGCAUUCGAAACUGGCAGGCUAGAGUCUUGUAGAGGGGGGUAGAAUUCCAGGUGUAGCGGUGAAAUGCGUAGAGAUCUGGAGGAAUACCGGUGGCGAAGGCGGCCCCCUGGACAAAGACUGACGCUCAGGUGCGAAAGCGUGGGGAGCAAACAGGAUUAGAUACCCCUGUAGUC
rnacentral:rRNA from 1 species